CUUGAGCAACUGACUGAGGAUACUGAAGACCACUGAAGGCAGCACAUACAGCCACACUCCCUCACACACUCACCAAAGUCUUUUCAGAAGGCUGUUCAGUCAGAUCAGUGCAAGAUGAAGGAUCAGAAGACAAAAUCAGCAUCCUUGCCCUCUUCCCCUGUACCUUUGGAACACAUGGAAAGGGCUUGUACUUUGGGAGUUAUCAAAGAGGAUACUCACUAGAAAGAAGGUGUGACAUCACCGGAUGUUUCUACUCAGCACCGAAUCAGUCUUGCAUAAAUCUGAAUUAGCCCUGGAGGGAGAUAUGGUUACUCAAAACAGGCAAGUAAAGAAAAUAAUUAUAAAAGGAAUUUGUGUUUGCAUUUUAUUCUAACUAAAGGGCAAGACAUUAAUCACGAGUAGAAUAUUUUUGACAAUUUCAUAGUGAGUUUACCUUUCUAUUUCUUUUGGGUUCACACAGACACAAUAAUAUAUAACAAAGGCAUAUAUGAGAAAAGGAGAUCAUUAGACCUAGAAUAUGCUUAGGAAAAAAAAAUCAGAAAAAAAAAAGUGAUGAGUAGAAAUAUGGAGCAUUUUAAUUUGUUAUUGGUCUUUUGGAACUUAUUUCCAAACACUGAAUUUUAUCCCAUUAGUUUACAAAUCUGUCCUCAUUUUUUUUCUGCCUUUCAUGACUAUCUUCUUGCAGUUAGAGUAGUGCAACAUUUUUUAGUAACUUUUCCAUACAUCACAAAUGUGUUUUCUGACUGUUUCUAAGAGGAAAACAGAAUAGCAGAAAUACUGAAUCUUGGCUUCCAGGGUUUAACUGGCAGACUACAGAGGGCAAGGUCUACAAGGCUGUGGGAAACUGACUCCACUAAGGAGCAGCAAUUGAGUCAAAAGCCUUUCAGAAGUCAUUUAAGUCACUUUUCAUGUAUCACAAAAAAGGAGCACAGGGUACAAACAGAAGCAUUUCAUUUUACAUUGUCAAUAUGUGUGCCUGGAGUUAACUAUUACUUUGGAAGACCAUUACCCAUCUGUUGGAAGUUUCAUAAACAAGUAUAAGUAAUGACAGAAUAAUUUGUGAGCUUGUGAAUCACUGCUUGAAGUGGCACAAGAGGAAAAAAACACAGAAUAACAGAGAGAGGGCAUGACAAAUGCUGUUAUCUGUGAUGAAAUGAGUUGUGUGGGAAGGAAAAAAGGAAGGGCUGAGUAUCAAACAGAAGGAAGACUGGAAGGAUGGAAGAGCUAGUGGAUAAAAACUGUGUGUGCAGUGAGGUGUGAUGAUCUGCCUCAAAGAGCAGCUUAUGUCAUGAACUGAGUUCCUAGUGUAGCAGUCAAGCAUUUUUCAGUGCUUGUAAUUUUCUUUAUAACAACUCCGGCUCAUGUGCCUAACUUUGGGCUCAAGUUCCCUGUUUUCCACUGGUGCAAUGCAAAAAGGUAACUAGAGCAGGUUCUAGAUCCCUUUAGAGGAGGGGCAUUGGCUUGGCCUCUCGCUAACCUGACUUUGUUCAGCCUAAGCUUCCUUACUAUGUCUAG